rnacentral:rRNA from 1 species
GUGAGGAAUAUUGCGCAAUGGAGGCAACUCUGACGCAGCCAUGCCGCGUGCAGGAAGAAGGCGCUACGCGUUGUAAACUGCUUUUAACCGGGAAGAAACCCCAGGACGUGUCCUGGGUUGACGGUACCGGAGGAAUAAGCACCGGCUAACUUCGUGCCAGCAGCCACGGUAAUACGAAGGGUGCAAGCGUUAUCCGGAUUCAUUGGGUUUAAAGGGUGCGUAGGCGGAGCGUUAAGUCAGUGGUGAAAUCCUGCAGCUUAACUGUAGACUUGCCAUUGAUACUGGCGCUCUUGAGUGCGCUUGAAGUGGGCGGAAUGUGCCGUGUAGCGGUGAAAUGCUUAGAUAUGGCACAGAACACCAAUUGCGAAGGCAGCUCACUAAGGCGAUACUGACGCUGAGGCACGAAAGCGUGGGGAUCGAACAGGAUUAGAUACCCGGGUAGUCC